UCGAGGUUCCGGUCCGCGGUUCCUGCCAUUACAUCAAAAAUAAAGGAAAAAUUAUAUCAAAAAUAAAAGAAAAAUACAAGAUCCUAUCUACUUCUUGUCUCCAAUCUUCCUUGAAUAUCCACUUGAUCCUUCAAUCAUGAAACUGAAAAUUCAACCCCAUUCUUCAAGUGGGCAUCCUGCUGACUUGAAUCUGAAGAAAACUGGAAGUUGACCCUAUUCUUCAGGGGGGAUCCUGAUGCUUCUAACUUGAACUUGAAAACUGAAAGUUGACCCUGUUCUUCAGGCGGGAUCCUGAUGCCUCUUUGACUUGAACUUGUAAACUGAAAAUUGAC
rnacentral:lncRNA from 1 species